rnacentral:rRNA from 1 species
GAUGAACGCUGGCGGCGUGCCUAAUACAUGCAAGUCGAGCGAACAGACGAGGAGCUUGCUCCUCUGACGUUAGCGGCGGACGGGUGAGUAACACGUGGAUAACCUACCUAUAAGACUGGGAUAACUUCGGGAAACCGGAGCUAAUACCGGAUAAUAUAUUGAACCGCAUGGUUCAAUAGUGAAAGACGGUUUUGCUGUCACUUAUAGAUGGAUCCGCGCCGCAUUAGCUAGUUGGUAAGGUAACGGCUUACCAAGGCAACGAUGCGUAGCCGACCUGAGAGAGUGAUAGGCCACACUGGAACUGAGACACGGUCCAGACUCCUACGGGAGGCAGCAGUAGGGAAUCUUCCGCAAUGGGCGAAAGCCUGACGGAGCAACGCCGCGUGAGUGAUGAAGGUCUUCGGAUCGUAAAACUCUGUUAUUAGGGAAGAACAAAUGUGUAAGUAACUAUGCACGUCUUGACGGUACCUAAUCAGAAAGCCACGGCUAACUACGUG